rnacentral:lncRNA from 1 species
GGUUCUGUCCUUAGGUGAAGGGGAUUCUAAGGUGAGAGAGAUUCUGUCCUUAGGUGAAGGGGAUUCUAAGGUGAGAAAGGUUCUGUCCUUAGGUGAAGGGGAUUCUAAGGUGAGAGAGAGACUAAGGUGAGAAAGGUUCUGUCCUUAGAGUGAAGGGAUUCUAAGGUGAGAGAUUCUGUCCUUAGGUGAAGGGGAUUCUAAGGUGAGAAAGAUUCUGUCCUUAGGUGAAGGGGAUUCUAAGGUGAGAGAGAGCCUAAG